rnacentral:rRNA from 1 species
AUUGAACGCUGGCGGCAGGCCUAACACAUGCAAGUCGAGCGAGCGGCGGACGGGUGAGUAAUGUAUGGGGACUGCCCGAUAGAGGGGGAGAACUACUGGAAACGGUAGCUAAUACCGCAUACUAUCGGAUAACCCAUAUGGGAUUAGCUAGUAGGGGAGGUAAUGGCUCACCUAGGCGACGAUCCCUAGCUGGUCUGAGAGGAUGAUCAGACACACUGUGACUGAGACACGGCCGAGAUUCUUACGGAGGCAGCAGUGGGGAAUAUUGCACAAUGGGCGCAAGCCUGAUGCAGCCAGGCCGCGUGUAUGAUGAGGGCCUUAGGGUUGUAGAGUACUUUUGGUCGAGAGGCGUUACCGUCAGAAUAAGCACCGGCUAACUCCGUGCCAGCAGCCGCGGUAAUUC